GCUGGAGCUCCAGGACCCGGGCGCCCGGCCUGGCGACCCCGCGAGCCCGAGCCGCCCUGAGGCCGGGGCAGCGCCGGGAGGCCGGGAGGGCUGCAGGGGUCGGGGACGCUGCGCCUUCCUCUGCUUCUUCAGCACUUUCCAGAGGAUUCGUCUGCGAGGUCCUCUUCCAGGUCACUUUAUCACAGUCUGAAUCCGCCUCUGUGAAUUUGCUGGCAACGGUAUCGCAUUCCUGCUUUCGGUAGGGAGAGCGGAGCCUCCGACGCCGGCGGAAUCUCCGGUUCCAAGAACAAGGCACCCUGGCAGGCGUGUGGAGCGGAGCUGCUCACACCUGGGCGAGCGGCCGCGGGCGCUGGACGGGCAGCCACAGCAGCGACCUGCAAACGCGGUCGCCAGGAGCCUCCCGUGCACAGGGUCCGGCUGCUCUGCAGGGGACACAGUGACCAGCAGCCAAGUCCCCUCUGGUGCACAGGUGUGCCCGCCGCUCUGAGGGUCCCUUCUGAAGCUGCGAGUGCCCCGCCCCCACCCCAGGCACGGGACACACAGGGAGCAGAGAUGGCCUCGCCCACCCCCCAAGGCCCCUUGCAGCUCUGCCCGUCUGCACCUGAGCACAGGCCACCGUGAGGGACGGUCUCACAGGGGACAUGCAGCCUCGCUGGCUUAUGGGAGGAGGAGGCGGUUUCGCAGGGGUCCCAGGUAAGGACAGGAAGGGAGGGAAAUUAUAAUUUGUUUCUGUGAGGAAAACACACGGAAGACACUCGAGUUUGCAAGUGGACAGGGCUGCCCAGGGACUGUACAUGUACAAGAGCAUUUUAAUUAAUUUAUUUCUUUACACAUAACUGAGAGUGAUGUUACAGUACAUAAGUUAUUUACAACUGUGCAGUAAUGUGUUGCAAAAUAAAUUAUCUAGAAGGCAGCAAAAGUACAUUGUGAAUGUAUAUAAAACUGUACAGCGUUUACGGAUACACUUUUUAUAUGAUUAUUGGCUCUGUAGUGUUUCAAGUUAUGUUCUCAGAAAGAGAAACAAAAUGCCCAAGAUUAAAGGAAAAAUAUACAAACCACGUGGAUUUGACUCCAUUAAAAACACUAUCGAGAGUCCGGCUCACUCCCUCUGGGCCAGGCGGGGCGCGGCCGGCUCCUGCUCAGCGUCCCCGUCCCGGUCUGAGGCCAGCGGCAGCUCCACGGCAACAAGAGCACGGCCGGGACGCUCUCCUGCCCUCUGACCUGGAGGUCACUGUGAGGUGGACGCCUUAACUUUUUAUUUCCUUUAGCGGAUCAGAAUGGAACAGGAAAUUCUAAAAAUGCGCUCUGUCCUGCAGCUCCUGAAACGCCUCUGCAGUCGGCUGAACGCAGGGCCGAGGGCCACCGUUCUCGGGGACGGAAGCCGCCGAGUCUGCGUGGCCUCCUCCCCGGCCUGGCUGGCAGACUGUGCGCCGGGGCCUGGCCCCGCAGCAGCUGGUGUCAGAGCAAAGACGUGUCCCACCUCGCUGACGCCCGGGCCAGUCUGGAGGGACGGAGACGCCAUGGCCAAGGUGGUGUCUGGGGUGUCCCUGUCGGGUGGACACUGUGCUCCUCCAGGGCUCAGCAGCAGCACGCAGCGGAUCGCGCGGCCCUCACUGGGUGUCACGCUGGCAGCAGCACGAAGUCGUCGUUGACGUCGACCAUGGGCACGUAGAAGGAGGGCACCUCGUUCACGCACAGGGACUUGUGCCCGGCGGGGUCCAGCUCCUGCACCUUCAGCUGCCACUCCAUCCUCUGCACGGCGUUGAGGGCCGCGGCCUCGUGCUGCUGCCGCAUCAGGAGGCAGGUCUGCGGACACACAGCAGGAUGCCGAUUGUGGAGGGGGUCUGGCCCCACCCCUGCUGUGUGAGGCCCCCACCUGCUGACCUGGGUCCACCCUUUGCAAGAAUCUCCUAAGAGUUUCGUUUUACAAUGGUUUGUGGCCAGUGAUACUGUUUCAUUUGCAUCUGCGGUAGAAACUGUGCCACGUGGAGGUGCACGUAGGAGCCCUGGGUUGGGGCAGACACACUGGGGAGCUCAGGCCCGGCCCAGGAGGGGGCCAUGCUCAGCCUGUGAUCGCUGAGGAUGGGGAAAUACUCCUCACGAUCCUCCAGAAACAGCCCGUCUGCUGUCACGUGGGGUCUGUGUCUCCACAUUCUCUCCCCGUGCAUCUGCGCAGCUGCACGGACCAGAGCUCACAGCCCAGACAGCGCCUCAGGCCGGGCCCAGCCGACACGACUGUGCAGCCUCAGGCCAGGCCUGCACGGCCCUCUGAACUCUCCCGGAAUCCACUGAGUAGCAGAAUUAUGGCUGGACCCCUGGGUUUCCAGGUUACUGCCAGAGAAUAUUUUUACAUACAUCCCUAACUUUGAAAUUUGACAGAUACUGUCUACUUAACAAAAUCCUACCAAGCGGCACCUCUGCCAGCAGGGCAAGGAGACUGUCCCCAACCCCACACCUCCCCUGGUAAGUGGCAUCUCAUUUAAUCUGUGGCUCUGAAAUUAACUGUUACACUGAAUAUCUUUUCAUUAAGAUUUGGCCAUUUUAUCUCCUUGGUGGAUAGAAAGAAACAUUGUGUAAAGACACUACCACCUUUUCUAUUCAACUGUAAGAGUUCUUCUUACAUUAAUAAAGUAACCUUACUUACCUGGUAUUUUUAAUGUACAAAGUCUAUCUUUAAUGUAAUCAAACCUUUUGAAAAUAAAGUAUUCCCUGUAUAUUUAUAAAACUAACAGUUGUCACAGCUUUGUUUACAGGUGUCUGGUAAAAGCAGUGAAAUCUCACGUGUCUGUGGAGCCUGGUCUCCCCCCAGCUCACAGCACCUGUGUCGCAGGGGCUGAGGCCCUGGGACGCCCCUGGCUCACACGCCGAGUGGGGCCGGUCGCUCCCUCUCCUGCUGCUCUCUGUCCCCGCCGGCACGCAGCGCGGCACGGCACCUGCCGGCACUCAGCUAGGAGGGCCAGGGCAGGCUGCCCCUGGCAAGGCCACCUCACUCCCAGACACUGUGGUGGGGGCAGGAGCUCUGCGUCCUCCCCCUCGCUCUGAGGGGGCAACAGUAUAUUGGGCG